rnacentral:tRNA from 1 species
GCUAGAGUGGCCGAGCGGUCUAAGGCGCCAGACUUAAGAUCUGGUGAUUAAUAUCGCGUGGGUUCGAAUAUACAUCCCACCUCUAGCA